rnacentral:lncRNA from 1 species
GUCUCCGAUUGGACGGCUCGAAGUAGGUGUUGCCGGAAGGGGUGAGUCUGAUUGGCCGGGCGGGGCCUACGGCGUUCGGCGAACAUGGCGGAGCGCGCGAGGAAGCGGCCCUGUGGUUCGGGUGAACAUGGCCAAAGAGUAGAGUGGCGGAAGUGGAAGCAACAGAAAAAAGAGGAGAAAAAGAAGUGGAAGGAUCUCAAGAUGACAAAGAAACUGGAGCGGCAGCGAGCGCAGGAGGAACAGGCAAAGCGCCAACAGGAGGAAGAGGCAGCUGCCCAGAGCGAGGAUCGGGGUGAGCGAGCCGGGUCCUGGGCAGGGCAGAGAAGGGCGGAAGGGCCCUUAGGGGCCACUGGGCCCAGACAUCUUGUCCUGAUGGAGAAACUGAGGCUUGGAAACUGGGAGGGACCCAAAAAGCUGAGCCCUAACCUCCUACUUAGGUGGAUUUCAGUUCUCUGGAGGGUAAGUGUCAUAUAUCAUAACUUGUAGAACCUCAUCAUUGUAAUGGCUGAUUAUACUUUUUUUUAAGCUCCUUUAGCCAGACUUUAUUGUUUGAAUAUUUGCAACUGCUAUUCUAUACACAAAUUUUAAUUUCUUACAAAACUGUAUAUUCCAUAUUGCUAGGUCACUUCACUCUCCAUUUUUAUGCCACGUUUCCAUCCAGAUCUAUUUCCCCAAAUCACAAUCUGCCUGUUGGUGUGUUGUCUUAUUUAGUUGCUGAGUUGUGUCUGACUCUUUGCGACCCCAUGGCCUGUAGUCUACCAGGCUCCUCUGUCCAUGGGAUUCUCCAGACAAGAAUACUGGAGUGGGUUGCCAUUUCCUUCUCCAGGGGAUCCAGGUUUUGAACCUGGGUCUCUUGCAUUACAGGCAGAUUCUUUACCACCUGAGCCACGAGGGAAGCCCCCAGCUGUUAACACCCACUUCUAUCCAGGGAAAGAAGUAUAUAGAUACAAUUUUACAGAAGUGAGGCUGCUUAAUCCAUGCACUUCUGGACCUGGUUUUUCUAAUCCCACAUUGUGUCCUUCUGUACAUCUGCAUCUACCCUAACAAAUUGUAUCUUUCCUCCUUGGUCAGCCCCAGAAUUCUGGAGUAUUCAGUUCAGUUGCUCAGUCGUGUCCAACUCUUUGCAACCCCAUCAACCGCA